GUCCCGUAUUGUCGUUUAUAGACUUAUAGUAUUUUAUUUCGACCAUGAAUUUAUUUUCGUCUAUACUUAUACGGCCGCCGCCUCGACAUUUUCUUGCGAAUACUCGAAAAUACAAUGGCUGUUUCAAAUGACUUCAUUUGGGGCAUAAAAGACAUUAUCUAAGAGCAUGGAUUUAAUCCGACAUUCAAGGUAAUUUACAUUGAAGAAAGUAAAUGUUCAUUUUCUUUAAAAGAUAAGAUUUUAAAAAAAAAAUGUGCUCAAAUAUAGUUUUUUUAGGUCUCUGUAUUUGAGCUCAUCAACAAUGUAUUCCAGAACAUCACUGCUAACUGCAAAAAUAACGAAUGGUUGAGUGAGCGAGCAAUUUUAGCGGCUAAGAAUAAAGACGUGGG